rnacentral:pre_miRNA from 1 species
UGGACAGAUUAUUGUAUUCGACGCGUGAAUAGGGGAUUACACUGUUUUUAAACGGAAAGUGAAUUAAUUAACAUAAUAAACUCCU